AACGUAGGAGACAAACGUUAUCCGGAGUUACUGGGCGUAAAGGGCGUGUAGGCGGUUUGUUAAGUCUGGCGUGAAAGCUCUCGGCUAAACCGGGAGAGGUCGUUGGAUACUGGCAAACUUGAGGACGGUAGAGGCGUGUGGAAUUCCGGGUGUAGUGGUGAAAUGCGUAGAGAUCCGGAGGAACACCAGUGGCGAAGGCGACACGCUGGGCCGUACCUGACGCUAAAGCGCGACAGCAUGGGGAGCAAAGGGG
rnacentral:rRNA from 1 species